rnacentral:lncRNA from 12 species
AUGGGGGUUGGGGGAGUCCACAUCCCAGGCUUCUCUGCCCCUGUGAUUCAGCUUCAGACACGCGUGGUCCCAGAGCUACAGAUAAGGAAUCUGGACGGACAACAACAAAUACCACCAAGUGCUGGGAAAUGGGAGCUCCAGGCACAUUCAUCACUAGAAAGGUUGGUAAGAGACACAGUAGCAAAGUGGCAAAACACUCAUGGUCCCCUGAGCUCUGAUUGUCCUCAGAGGAGGGAUGCUCAGACUGGGCAGAAAUGGGCAGUGACUGGUGAUUCCCUAGAGAUGGAUGCUGCUCCUGCACUCGUCCACGGUACUAGGGAAAAAGCAGGGUCGGUGCCUUCUAGACAUUUUUAAAAAGUAUUUAUUUAUUUAUUUAUUUAUUUAUUUAUUUAUUUAUUUAUUUGAGAGAGAGCACAAGCAGCGGGAGCGGCAGGCAGAGGGAGAAGGAGAAGCGGACUCCUCAUGGAACAGGGUCCCAGGACCCUGAGAUCAUGACUUGGGCCAAAGGAAAAUGCUUAACCGAUUGAGCCACACAAGGGCCUUGCCUUCCAGAGAUUAAUGCCCAUGUAAAUCACCUGGAGAUCUUGUUAAAGAUGCAGAUUCUGAUUCAGUAGGUCUGGGGUGAGGCCCAUGAUUCUGCAUUCCUUUUUUUUUAUGCAGUAUUUUUUAUUAUUGUCAUCACCAUGAUGAAGUGUUUAGACUGAGGAGCAGAAAUUUUUUUUAAAGGUUUUAUUUAUUUAUUCAUGAGAGACAGAGAGAGAGAGAGAGAGAGAGGUAGAGACACAGGCAGAGGGAGAAGCAGGCUACAUGCAGGGAGCCCGACGUGGGACUUGAUCCUGGGUCUCCAGGAUGAGGCCCUGGACUGAAGGCAGCGCUAAACCGCUGAGCCACCCGGGCUGCCCCAGGGUGCAAAAAUGUUAAGCAAUUUUUCCAAAGUACACAGUUGAUAUACAGUGGACCUGGGACAUAAAUCUCAGCAGGUCUUUUUUUUUUUUGUAUGUAUAUAUUUUUAUUGGAGUUCGACAUGCCAACAUAUAGCAUAACACCCAGUGCUCAUCCCAUCAAGUGCCCCCCAGCAUGCCUUAAAAUCCUCCGGGGGAUACUAGUGGGCAACUUCAUGAAGGGGGAGGAUCUAGGCAACUAGGUAACAAUGGAGCUUUUGGUUAGUUAGAGAACCUACCUUGUUGAGAAGAGAGUAGCUCAGCUGUGGUUACAGCUUGUACUUCCCACUGAGCUGACAAAUCUGCUGAGCAAACCAAGAAAAAAAAAUCGCAAAUUGAACAUAAGCAAAAUCCGGAAACUAAUAAAAUAAAAAUUUUAACAUUAAUUUCCUAACA